AGCACCUAAACGGCGAAACUGCGAAUGGCUCAUUAAAUCAGUUAUCGUAUAUUUGAUAGUACCUACUACAUGGAUAACCGUGGUAAUUCUAGAGCUAAUACAUGCUUAAAAUCCCGACUUCGGAAGGGAUGUAUUUAUUAGAUUAAAAACCAAUGCCCUUCGGGGCUCACUGGUGAUUCAUAAUAACUUCUCGAAUCGCAUGGCCUUGCGCCGGCGAUGGUUCAUUCAAAUUUCUGCCCUAUCAACUUUCGACGGCUGGGUCUUGGCCAGCCGUGGUUACAACGGGUAACGGAGGGUUAGGGCUUGACCCCGGAGAAGGAGCCUGAGAAACGGCUACUACAUCCAAGGAAGGCAGCAGGCGCGCAAAUUACCCAAUCCCGACUCGGGGAGGUAGUGACAAUAAAUACUGAUACAGGGCUCUUUUGGGUCUUGUAAUUGGAAUGAGUACAAUU
rnacentral:rRNA from 1 species